rnacentral:rRNA from 1 species
GAUGAACGCUGGCGGCGUGCCUAAUACAUGCAAGUCGAGCGAACAGACGAGGAGCUUGCUCCUCUGACGUUAGCGGCGGACGGGUGAGUAACACGUGGAUAACCUACCUAUAAGACUGGGAUAACUUCGGGAAACCGGAGCUAAUACCGGAUAAUAUUUGAACCGCAUGGUUCAAUAGUGAAAGACGGUUUUGCUGUCACUUAUAGAUGGAUCCGCGCCGCAUUAGCUAGUUGGUAAGGUAACGGCUUACCAAGGCAACGAUGCGUAGCCGACCUGAGAGGGUGAUCGGCCACACUGGAACUGAGACACGGUCCAGACUCCUACGGGAGGCAGCAGUAGGGAAUCUUCCGCAAUGGGCGAAAGCUUGACGGAGCAACGCCGCGUGAGUGAUGAAGGUCUUCGGAUCGUAAAACUCUGUUAUUAGGGAAGAACAAAUGUGUAAGUAACUAUGCACGUCUUGACGGUACCUAAUCAGAAAGCCACGGCUAACUACGUG